rnacentral:rRNA from 1 species
UGGGGAAUAUUGCACAAUGGGGGAAACCCUGAUGCAGCGACGCCGCGUGAGCGAUGAAGGCUUUCGAGUCGUAAAGCUCUGUCCUAUGGGAAGAUAAUGACGGUACCAUAGAAGAAAGCCCCGGCUAAUUACGUGCCAGCAGCCGCGGUAAUACGUAAGGUCCGAGCGUUGUCCGGAAUCAUGGGCGUAAAGGGUACGUAGGCGGAUAAGCAAGUUAGAAGUGAAAUCCUAUAGCUCAACUAUAGUAAGCUUUUAAAACUGCUCAUCUUGAGGUAUGGAAGGGAAAGUGGAAUUCCUAGUGUAGCGGUGAAAUGCGCAGAUAUUAGGAGGAAUACCGGUGGCGAAGGCGACUUUCUGGCCAUAUACUGACGCUGAGGUACGAAAGCGUGGGUAGCAAACAGG